GGGCUUAUGCGGAAGACGGCCGAGCUUUGCAAGCAGGGGGUCUAGAGUUCGAAUCUCUAUAUCUCCA
rnacentral:tRNA from 1 species